UUUGGCACAAAAAGUACUUCAAUGCGUUCAUCAGAAGUGAAGAUAUUGGCAAUCAAACAUGGCCUCUGGUGUGCUCCCAUUUCUUCUUCAAUGCCUAGCACUGUGAAGGCUACAGCGUAAUGGGGCAUGGCCACAAUGCUCCACCUUCUAAUUGUCAUUUGAGUACACAGUUCAA
rnacentral:lncRNA from 1 species